rnacentral:rRNA from 1 species
ACGGAAGGCAGCAGUGAGGAAUAUUGGUCAAUGGGCGGAAGCCUGAACCAGCCAUCUCGCGUGCAGGACUACGGCCCUACGGGUCUUAAACUGCUUUUAUGGGGGGAUAAAGUCGGGCAUUCGUGUCCGUUUGCAGGUACCCCAUGAAUAAGGAUCGGCUAACUCCGUGCCAGCAGCCGCGGUAAUACGGAGGAUCCGAGCGUUAUCCGGAUUUAUUGGGUUUAAAGGGUGCGCAGGCGGCCCGUUAAGUCAGCGGUGAAAUGUCGGGGCUCAACCCGGGCACUGCCGUUGAAACUGGGGGGCUUGAGUACGGAUGAGGUCGGCGGAAUGUGACGUGUAGCGGUGAAAUGCUUAGAUAUCACACAGAACACCGAUUGCGAAGGCAGGCGACGAUACCAUGUCUGACGCUCAGGCACGAAAGCGUGGGGAUCGAACAGGAUUAGAUACCCUGGUA